GAUUUCAUAAAUAUUUUUAUACUUAAAAAUUUUUUAAAAUAUUUAUGGGGAGUAAUACGCUUUCGUUUUUUAAGUUAUCUAGUUUAAGUUUUAUUUAAAAGGGAAAUCUUUUAAAAAAAAUUUUUUAUAUUUAUUUGAUGUUGAAUUUUUUUUAAUAGUAAGUAACUGUGUAAUAACUUAUUUGAAGUUUAAAAAAAUUUUUAUAUUUUUAUUUUUAUAACAUUGAAUAAUUAAUUAAUGGAUUAGUAAAGAAAUUUUUUUUUAUUUAAAUUUUUUAUAUUAUUAAUUUUUUAAAAUUAUUUUUAUUUACUGAUUUUUUCUUAAACUGGUUAAUAAAAUCUUAGCUAUAAAAUUUAUAGUUAUUUCUGCCCUAUGCUAUAUCAAUAAGGUAAAUGGCUGUUUUUGACACUAAGGUAGCAAAAUCAUUAGUUAUUUAAUUGAUAACUUGUAUGAAUGAAUUUUUUAAGAAAAUAUUAUUUUUCUUUUUGAAUUUAUAAAUUUGUUGAAAAUAACAAUUUUUCCCAUAAGACUAAAAGACCCUAAAAUUUUCAUAACUAAAAGUUAUUUGGUUGGGGCAAUAAUAAAAAGUUUAUAUUAAAUAAUUUAUUUAUCAUUGAACUUUCUUUUUUGAUAAUAGGGAAAAUACUUUAGGGAUAACAGCUUUAUUAUUUUUAAAAGUUCUUAUUACUAAAAUAGUUUUAGACCUCGAUGUUGGAUUGAAGAUACUUUUUGGGGCAG
rnacentral:rRNA from 1 species